rnacentral:rRNA from 1 species
UACGGAGGGUGCAAGCGUUAUCCGGAUUCACUGGGUUUAAAGGGUGCGUAGGCGGGCAGGUAAGUCAGUGGUGAAAUCCCCGAGCUUAACUUGGGAACUGCCGUUGAUACUAUCAGUCUUGAAUACCGUGGAGGUAAGCGGAAUAUGUCAUGUAGCGGUGAAAUGCUUAGAUAUGACAUAGAACACCAAUUGCGAAGGCAGCUUACUACCCGAAUAUUGACACUGAGGCACGAAAGCGUGGGGAUCAAACAGG